UUUUUAUUUAUAUCUUAAAAGAAAAAUUAUCUGCAACUAAUCACCAAAUAAUACUUAGAAUAAAUAUGUAAAACAUAAAUUAAUAUAUAGAUGGGCCAGAUCUGGAGCCUUUCUGUAAAAGUGAAUGUGCAAUAUCCAGAAUUGAAUUUUGAUCAUCCAAUGUGGUAAGCAAAUAUGUUAAAAUGCAACCAUCUGGCCAAGAUUUUUAGUGUUAUUGUUAUUCAUUCACUAUCAAAAUAUUUACAUUAUUGUUCACUUAAUGAACAUAAUGUAAAUAUUUUUAGGCUUUUAUAUGCAUUAGCAAAUGAAAAAGUCUAUGAUUUACUUUACAGCAAAAUUUGCUUUGCAGUGGUGGUCUGGAACAAAAUCACUGCAAUAACACCUUGUGCCUGUCAUUUGU
rnacentral:lncRNA from 1 species